GACAGAGGGUGCAAACGUUGUUCGGAAUUACUGGGCGUAAAGCGCGUGUAGGCGGUCUCGCAAGUCGGAUGUGAAAGCCCAGGGCUCAACCCUGGAAGUGCACUCGAUACUGCGAGGCUAGAGUCCCGGAGAGGAUGGUGGAACUCUCGGUGUAGAGGUGAAAUUCGUAGAUAUCGAGAAGAACACCGGUGGCGAAGGCGGCCAUCUGGACGGUGACUGACGCUGAGACGCGAAAGCGUGGGUCGCGAAUGGG
rnacentral:rRNA from 1 species